GGAAGCCUUCUUCGGUCUGUCGCCGGAAGCGGUCCCCACCGGGCCAUAGAUUUCUUCAUAAGCGGCUUCGAUCUGUUCCUCGGUCUCGGGGCCGCGCUCGUCGAAGUAGGGAGGCUCGACGUAGUCGUCGGGGCGGGGAGGGGGGUCGAAGGUGAUGAGUUCGUCGGGGUCGAGGUUGUCGAAGAAGGUGGUGUCCACGUCCUUGGAGGCGGCGGACAGGGGAGGCGGAGCAGACCGGAGGGCGGCGCGGAGGUGGAGCGGGGCGAGGGGUUUGAAGGGUCGCGGGAAUGAGGGUUUGAG
rnacentral:misc_RNA from 1 species